GGGAAGAGAAAAAAUGAUUAUGAUGAUAAAGAAUUAUUAUUUUGGCAUUAAAUACAUUGCACUAUUCAUCUUCCUCUUCAACCAAACCCAAAGGAAGAAACCCUAGCAAGUCAUCGCCGCCGUCGCCCCUCCCUUCUCUGCCAGUCGUCGCCGUCGACCCUUUGUCACAAAACAACCGAGCCGGUAGCGAAUCCGAUCUCCAGCCGAUUUCUUCCUCGCAGCCGCGCCUCUCCAGUCGAUCUCUUCCGCCAGCUGCCUCCACGAAUCCAACCGUCGCCAAUCGCUCGAUCAGCCACACCGUCGCCGCCGCGCACCGAUCGUCGAAGCCCGCGAAGCUCAGUCGCACCGCACCUCCGCAACCCGAGCCACAUAGUCGUACCUGACCGCAUCCUCGCUCCUCGCAUCCACCCCUGUCGAGCCGUACGCGCGCUGCGUCUCACUGCUAGCCGAGCCGCAUCCGCCCCGUCGAGCCGUACGCGCACCACGUCUCACUGCUAGCCAAGCUGCAUCCACCCGCGUCGAGCCGCACGCGCGCCGCGUCUGCACAGCUAGGCGAGCUGCAUCCAUCCGUGCCGAGCCGCACGCGCGCAGCACCUGCACCCGAGUCGAGCCGCGCCUGCACCGGAGCCGAGCCGCGCCGCGUCUCUUUCCUUCCUGUCAAGCCGCCAAGCCUUUUUGAGCCACCUAGUUUUUUCGGUCCUUCCCCACCUAUCGUUGGGCCGAUUGGACCAAUUGGAGUUUGGAGCGUGGGAUUUCCGACUUAAAAGAAAUUAUUGCAACCUUGAUCUCGGGACUUGCGACUUGAGAAGCGGGUGACCUUACUGUUAGAAUUCGAUUGAGUAAAUCUCUAGGUAAAGGCAGAGGUAAGGGUAAGGGCAAGCUUGCGAGUGACCAGAAGUGACCGUGGCGAGCCAUAGGGAUUUAUGCUUCCGCUUUACACCCCGUUUAAACAUUUAGUACUUGAGUUUUCAUUUUUCUUUAUUUACUAUUUCGUUUCUUUAAAAGUAGAUAGGGCCCGGUAGGAUUUUAAUAUUUGUUUACAUUUCGCAC